GUUACCCUCUGCUCCAGAGCUGAGCUGCACCUACAGAGGAGCCUUUUCCUAGCUCAGACCAGGGCAACAGGCAACACUUGGGAUUUGAAGACACUGGCAAAGAAAAAAGCAGCCCACAAAUAGCCGGUAGAAAGCCCUACAACAUGGCAGCAAACAUUUCCUAAUUUACUGCAAUGCCAGAAGAGGAGCUGGUGUGAGCAGCACAGGAGUCCUCCACACCUCAGCAACUUUCUGCUCUCUGUUCCACCAGAGUGAACCAGGAAUGGAGCAGCUCUUUUGGGAAGUUCUGUGAACCCUUUGGUUUGUCUCUGCUGCAUCUGGGCAGUGAUGGCACAGGAGGUGAGGGAAUCAUUUUGCUUCUCCUGAGGCAGCUUCACUAAAAGGUCACACCCUAUGGACCAGAGCUGAGCUCUGGUUUCUUUUGCACUGUCCCUACCCCUCAGGAGCUGACUGCAAGCUCACACAGGUGAUGUUCCUUAAAUCCUUAACUUCCAGAAGGACAGAAUUGCAUCAGAACCUCCACUUUCAGCUCACUCAGCUCAGUUCAUCUCAUCUCUUACCUGGGCCAAGACAAGUGCUGCCCAUCUCACCCUUCAUGGAGAUCACUGGACAAGAGGAGUCGAGGCCACUGUCUGCUGUGAGCUUCCCAGCUGGUCCACCUGGGAAUUGUAAAAUUCCCUUUCCACGCACAGGACCUGGGCUGCCUUUCAGCAUGCUUGAGACCGGGGAGUGUGACAACCCAGUCUGCCCAGUGAUGGAAAGUUAGAAACUGGAAAUGUACCUGGAUGCCACCCUGAGUCAGCCCAAACCGGAGCAUCUCUACAAAACACCUAGAUGUGAACAAACUACCGUCCUCUGACAAAAAUAUUCCGUCUGAGAAUUUCUGACCAGCUCCGGCGGUAAACACCUCCAGGGUGUCAUUUUUGUCUGAUACAGGGCAAAAAUUAUUCGGGUACCUGUUGCUCGGGGUGGAAAGAUGAGGGAAUGGAAUAGUAAAUUAAAGGGGUUGGAGCAAAAAGCAGCUGAUUGUCUGAGCACGGCUGGCCAAGUUGUGUUCAGGUAUCUGUGUGGGAACGCACCUUUCCACGGAUGAAAUGCCCGUGGCAGGGGCUGCAGCCACCCUCUUAUCCCCUUCCCCUCACUGAGUGGGCUUUACACUUGUGGGGCUUUACACUUGUGCUUAUUUUCCUACAUCCCCUCGGUGGGGUUUGUCCGGGCACCUCUCCUUGUCCUGCUCCUGGGCUUUUCUCCCCUCCCUGUGGGCCCCGCGAUCCCCCUCAGGGAGCCGGAGCCUCCGCGGGCGGCGACGGAGGCGCGGAGUUCCCGGCGGGCCGGCCGCCUCCCCGCCCUCCUUCCAUCCUCCCUCCCUCUCUCCCUCCCUCCCUCAGCGGCGUGUUUGGGAGGGAAGGAGGGGGUGGAAGCCGGGCCGGGGCGGCCAGCAGGCAAUUUGCAUGAGAGACAGACUGGGAAUGAGCUGGAGUGGGCGCCUCUCCGCGCACACAGAGCGGGGCAGGAGGGGGAGGAGGAGGGAGCUGCCGCCGCCGCCGCCGCCGCCGGGGAGAGGCGGCGAAC